rnacentral:misc_RNA from 1 species
UUUCCGUAGGUGAACCCGCGGAAGGAUCAUUCAUAAUAAAGUGUUUUAUGGCACUUUUUAAAAAUCCAUAUCCACCUUGUGUGCAAUGUUAGAUCUCGUCAAUCUUGGCGAGGUUUUUAUACAUCAACUCAUUCUUUAACUAAUUUGUCUGAAAAAUAUUAUGAAUACUUAAUUCAAAAUACAACUUUCAACAACGGAUCUCUUGGCUCUC